UCAGAGGCUCUGUCAGUGGAAAACGCUGUGUCAUUAUCAUUGUUGUGUGGGUGGUCACUCCUGACAACACAGACUCCACAGGAACAACAGACCUGCUCUGCAAGACGAACGUGUGGGGAGAAAAACUGAAAGUGGAGCGAUGUUGUGACUAAUACUUGGUCCACUGUGUAGAGUGGCCAGGUGGAUUUCAUCAUGCUGUGUCUCCUCAAACACGAGCAGCCCAGCAGCCGGAUGUCUGUCACAGUGUAAAGGGCAGAACGUGUGGACAGUUUCCAGUGAUGAGAAACCACCACCAGUUUAAAAUCCCAGCAGAGUGGACUGAGGAUAUGCCUUCUUUUCUAAGCCCAGUCAUCCAUCAGUGAAGUUUGUAAUCUAUGUGUGUCCGUGUUGCUGCGCAGUUGUUCUAAUGAUGAUUUGUCUGUAAACUCCCUGUUGGGAAGCCGGAUAAACUCUGAGAGCUGACAAGUGCAGCAGCAGCAGCGACGACAUAGACACAUGUUUACUAACUAUACCUAUAAUGUGAUAUAAUAAUCCAAUGAAUUAAACAAAUGGCUUCUGAGUUCA